GCUCUCUUUGGCAGGACACAUACUAGAAUUGGAACUAUGCAGAGGAGAUUAGCAUGGCUUCUGUGCAAGGAUGACAAGUAAAUUCAUGAUACGUUUCACAUUUUU